CAAGCCAUCGACGGGAUAGGGGUCAGCCCGGUCGCUUCUUUGCAAGGCGAUGUUGUAGCAAUGUCUGGCCAGGGCUUGGUCUCCCCGGACCUCCCCGAUCCCCUGGUUGGUGAGGAACUUCAAUUUCAAAUGGUAGGUUGAAACGACAGCUCUGAGAGCAUUGAGGCCGGGUCGGCCAAGGAUUGCAUUGUAAGCGGAUGGCGCC
rnacentral:lncRNA from 1 species